UUUCAUUUGUUCUGGCCCCAGUGACAUGUGGUGUAGAUCCAGAUAUGUCCUGGGUCUUGUGAUCAUAGUCUUUCUUUUGAAAACAGUUGCUGUCAAUCUGUCACUUCUUUGUUUUAGAGCUCAGCCAGUUUGAAAAUGUGAGGUAUCAGCUGCUGUUGCUGUAGGUCCAUUUCUAUUUUCCAGCAGGUGGGUGUGUCUGUCUCUUUCCUUUCAUCUUCAUCCAGGCUUUCUUCUUUCAGGCACUUUCCGGUUUGUCAAGCCAAGUAUGCCUGUCAUGUUGGAACCCAGCCCUGGGACACUCACCAACUUCUCUUUGUGCCCAUCUUUCAGUGAUAGAAAGAAGCAAGUGAUCAUCUUUAGUCUUGAUGCUUGUGAAUUAUGACUCAUCCUCAGCUUGCGAAUCUGGAAUUGGAUCAGCUGGGAUGUAUUAAAAACUUCUCUUUACCUUAACAUAAAAUCUAAGUGGGAAAUAAAUAUUUUUGCAGAAGUGAAUCACUCAUAUUUGAAGCUAGUGAAGUUGCGGGCACACUCAGAUUUCUUUUUUUGUUAAAGUAACUUGAAAGAUACUUUACUGCAUGCUUUAGUCUGGCCAAAUAAAAGGGGAAAUUGGGC
rnacentral:lncRNA from 1 species